rnacentral:rRNA from 1 species
AUGGUAGGAUAGAGGCCUACCAUGGUGGUAACGGGUAACGGGGUGUUAGGGCACGACACCGGAGAGGGAGCCUGAGAAACGGCUACCACAUCCAAGGAAGGCAGCAGGCGCGCAAAUUACCCAAUCCCGACACGGGGAGGUAGUGACAAUAAAUAACAAUACAGGGUUCUUUGAAUCUUGUAAUUGGAAUGAGUACAAUUUAAAUCUCUUAACGAGGAACAAUUGGAGGGCAAGUCUGGUGCCAGCAGCCGCGGCAAUUCCAGCUCCAAUAGCGUAUAUUAAAGUUGUUGCAGUUAAAAAGCUCGUAGUUGAAUUUCGGGAUCAAUACGUCGGUCGUGCUUUNGGGUACGUACCGGCGUCAUUGGUUUCUCCUUUCUGACGAACCAUGAUGUCAUUAAUUUGGUGUUAUGGGGAGUUAGGACUGUUACUUUGAAAAAAUUAGAGUGUUUAAAGCAGGCAUUAGCUUGAAUACAUUAGCAUGGAAUAAUGAAAUAGGACGUUCGAUCCUAUUUUGUUGGUUUCUAGGAUCAACGUAAUGAUUAAUAGGGAUAGUUGGGGGCAUUAGUAUUCAAUUGUCAGAGGUGAAAUUCUUGGAUUUAUUGAAGACUAACUGCUGCGAAAGCAUUUGCCAAGGAUGUUUUCAUUAAUCAAGAACGAAAGUUAGGGGAUCGAAGACGAUCAGAUACCGUCGUAGUCUUAACCAUAAGCUAUGCCGACUAGGGAUCGGAUGAUGUUAAUUUUUUAAUGACUCAUUCGGCGCCUUACGGGAAACCAAAGUGUUUGGG